GAGCUGGAGGAUGACAAGAUCUCGCUGCCCUUCGUGGUGACGGACCUGAGCGGCCGCAGCCUCAGGCUGCUGCGGGACCGAGCCACGGCCCAGGGGCAGUACCUGACGGUGGAGCAGCUGACGCUGGACUUCGAGUACGUCAUUAACGAGGUGAUUCGCAACGACGCCGCCUGGUCCCGCCAGUUCUGCUCCUUCAGCGACUACGACAUCGUCAUCCUCGAGGUGUGCCCCGAGACCAACCAGGUGGUGAUCAACAUCGGGCUGCUGCUGCU